UGGGGAAUAUUGCACAAUGGGCGCAAGCCUGAUGCAGCCAUGCCGCGUGUAUGAAGAAGGCCUUCGGGUUGUAAAGUACUUUCAGCGAGGAGGAAGGCGUUGUGGUUAAUAACCGCAGCGAUUGACGUUACUCGCAGAAGAAGCACCGGCUAACUCCGUGCCAGCAGCCGCGGUAAUACGGAGGGUGCAAGCGUUAAUCGGAAUUACUGGGCGUAAAGCGCACGCAGGCGGUCUGUCAAGUCGGAUGUGAAAUCCCCGGGCUCAACCUGGGAACUGCAUCCGAAACUGGCAGGCUAGAGUCUUGAAGAGGGGGGUAGAAUUCCAGGUGUAGCGGUGAAAUGCGUAGAGAUCUGGAGGAAUACCGGUGGCGAAGGCGGCCCCCUGGACAAAGACUGACGCUCAGGUGCGAAAGCGUGGGGAGCAAACA
rnacentral:rRNA from 1 species